UCUACCAUAAGCUAUAAUUCGACCAAUCACAAUCAUCAUCGAAGAAAUUACACGAAAAUAUUAUAUAAUUUUUAUGUAUUGAGUGCUGUUUACUGCAUCUUUAUUUUUGUAUUAAUUUGUUUAGUAUAAGUAUACAAUGAUAAUAUAUUUACAAUAUCAUAUAUUUUAAUAUUUCUAAAUUUACAAUGUAAACUAGUCGUGUAUAUUUAUAUAUUUUUAUUACAAAAUCAUCAAAGGAAUGAAUGUUAUUUAUAAUUUCUAUAUGUGAUGCUGUAUUGCUUAGGAUUUAUGAUCAAUUUUUAUGAUCACUCAUUUAUUAAAACCUAAAACACAAUGCUCUUGUGUCGCAUUUAUAAAAUUUCAAGGAUCGACUUUAAAUAUCGACAUAGGGAAGUAAGACAUAAAUAGUAAGAAUUUUAUGCUUACGAAUUUUUUCAUUGUUCAUCUUACAUCUAACAUUAAAAAAUAUAGGGAUGAAUAAUUGGUUACAAUUAAUGGAUUUUCUUAUGUCUUACAUCAAUGGAAAGGCCUUAUAAUUACUGUAUUGUCAGAAUGUGUGUAUGAAGAUUCUAAAGGUUAAAUUAGAGACGCUACAACAUAUCAUAAGGUAUAGACCAUGCUUGCAACGCAAGUGAUGUAAAUGUAAACUAACUUUGUUGUUACUUAAAUGAAAGAUCUGUGCUAACGGUUUUUAAGAUGGGGUUUCUUUCGAAUCUUUCUGCAGAACACGAAGAACAAUUAGAAGUAAAUGACGGGCAUGAAUGUUCGCAAAACGAAGACAAAUUAACAAAUGCCCUCAAAUAUUGUAACAAUUUGUGGCAAACAGAAGGUUGUUUUAACAAAAAUAUCUUCUACCGAAAUAAAUUCCAUUGCUAUGGAAUAAAUAAUCUGUAAAGAAAUUAUCAACAUUAUGAGAGAAAUUAUUAUAAAAAAUGAUUUGGUAUUGUUCAAUGAAAAUGAUUCGAAAGGAAUUUACAAAAAAAUAAAAAUUAAAGAAAAUGAAGAUUAUGAGUCUCUAUUCUAUGAGCAUAUUUCUUUGGAAUACGGAAGGUGAGAAUCGUUUUUCUUGAUGCUCAUCUAUAAUUAUCUUUAGUAAUUAUUCAUAAAAAAAGUAAGCACUUAAAUAGAAAAUAAUGUCACAAAUAGAGAAAAAUGUGAAGAAUAAUGGAACAUGUUAUGAUAAAUGAUUGCAUAUAUGAAAGAAACUUUUAAUCUUUUCAAAGAAACUGAUAAUUCAGCAAUAAGCAAUGGUAAUGGUAUAAAUAAGGCAAAACUAGAAAAAAGUGUAAAGCAGAAAGUUUUGUUGCAUAUUAUAAUAAUAAUAAUAAUAAUAGUAUUGAAUGAAACCAUAAAAACUGGGCCUGGAUGGAACAUGCGAUCUCCAAACUUAUAGUACUGUACUUAACUAUUGCUGGCAUAUGCUGAUAUUUGACAAAUGAUUUGUCUCUAACACUAAAACAGUAUGGUAUAAUUCAAACAAUAAUUUCUUAUUAAAAACUGAGUAGUGCAUUGCAUUCAAAUAGCAUUCGUUAUUUCUAUAUCAAUAAUACAUUCUUUAUUUUCCAUUGAUUAGGUCAAAUCUGAAAUUUUGUUUGUUUUGAUUUUUGAAACAAAUUGUUCCUUAUAGUGUCACGUAUUUUACUAUUUUGCUUUAUGUUGUGAGUGACCUUGUCUGUUAUUGCAUUUCCUAGUGUAGUAAUUUGUGAAUUAAAUAUUUUAUAGAGA